rnacentral:rRNA from 1 species
AUGGCAAAGAUUGUGCUCCUCGUCCUGCCCUUGCUCUCCCUGCUGCUGCCCUUGCUCUUUUGGUGUGUCGCCCAGGCCCAGCUGGCCAAGGAGUUCUGCGUGGCCGACCUGGCCAGCAGCGACACGCCGGCCGGCUACCCGUGCAAGCCCCAGGCCGCCGUCACCGCCGACGACUUCUACUACCGCGGCCUGGGCACCACAGGCCCGACCGUCAACCCGUUCAAGAUCAGCUUGUCCUCGGCCUUCGUCACCAGCUUCCCCGGCGUGAACGGGCUGGGCAUCUCCGCCGCGCGCGUCGACUUCGCGGUGGGAGGCGUGGUGCCGCUGCACUGGCACCCGGCGGCCACGGAGCUCAUCUUCGUGGUGGAGGGCACCCUGUCGUGCGGCUUCAUCAGCGCCACCUCCAACAACAGGGUCUACACCAACACCCUGUACAAGGGCGACAUCAUGGUGCUCCCGCAGGGCCAGCCGCACUUCCAGUACAACCUCGGCAACACCACCGCCGUGGCGCUCUCCACCUACAGCAGCCCCAACCCCGGCGUCCAGACCCUCGACUUUGCGCUCUUCGCCAACAACCUCCCGUCGGAGGUGCUCACCAAGGUCACCCUCCUCGACGACUUGCAG